UAGGUUAUUUUUGUACUAGCAAGUUUAGUCCGGGUGAACUUUAUAUUCUCUGUUACACUUUGUUUGAUAACUUGGGACUUGUAUAUACAGGCGUUACGUGUCUGAGUUGUGAUUUUAGAGGAGAGAGUUUGGUGUCAGGUUUUCUUAACUGUUAACAUUCCAGGCAACUAACAUACUGCUGAGUAUGUUGUUUUUACAUCAUGAGGAGAUCCAGCUGUUUUAUGGCUCCAGUUAGAGAGUUAAUGGGUUUGCAUAAGAACGUUGCCAACAAAUACCGUUAUCUGGCUCACUUUCUGAGAGAUUUCUAACGUGAAGCAUCAAUUUGUAUCGCACAUCUAUUUGUGAAGGGAAUGGUCCGAAGAAAAUAAUAUGAAACGAUCGUCACUGUUCCUGUUUCACUUUCAUCUCCGAUGACGUACAUUACUAUUCCAGUUCUACUUUUAUCACUGUGACUUCGUAAAUUCAGACUGCUGGCCCCAUGUUACACAUUCUUCGUGGACUUUGAUAUAUUUCGAGACUGUUGUUGCCACACUUUGGCUGUUCUGGAUUCUACUUCAGCCUCAAUUCCACCAUGGACUGCUGAGACGAUGACGCAGUGAGACCAUUCUCUCUCUCUCAAUGGAUUAUAUUUCUUCUAUAUUAUGUUUUUUAUGUUUAUUAUGUAUUGGGAAAAUUGGUCCAAGAACUCAUGCUGGGAAAUGUUUAGCCACUGCAUUCUAAUGUCAAUAUAUUGUCAUGUUGUUACAUA